AUUGAACGCUGGCGGCAGGCCUAACACAUGCAAGUCGAACGAGUGGCGGACGGGUGAGUAAUGUCUGGGAAACUGUCUGAAGGAGGGGGACAACUACUGGAAACGGUAGCUAAUACCGCAUACCAUCAGAUGUGCCCAGAUGGGAUUAGCUAGGUGGUGGGGUAACGGCUCAACAAGGCGACGAGCACGAGAUGGUCUGAGAGGAUGACCUGCCACACUGGAACUGGGACACGGGCCCAAAUCCUACGGGAGACAGCGGUGGGAAAUAUUGCACAAUGGGCGCAAGCCUGAUGCAGCCAUGCCGCGUGUAUGAAGAAGGCCUUCGGGUUGUAAAGGACGUUCAGCUGGGAGGCGUUACCCGCAGAAGAAGCACCGGCUAACUCCGUGCUAGCAGCCGCGGUAAUAC
rnacentral:rRNA from 1 species